GUGGGGAAUAUUGCACAAUGGGCGCAAGCSUGAUGCAGCAACGCCGCGUGAGGGAUGAAGGCCUUCGGGUUGUAAACCUCUUUUAGCAGGGAAGAARCGAAAGUGACGGUACCUGCARAAAAAGCACCGGCUAACUACGUGCCAGCAGCCGCGGUAAUACGUAGGGUGCAAGCGUUGUCCGGAAUUAUUGGGCGUAAAGAGCUCGUAGGCGGUUUGUCACGUCUGCUGUGAAAAUCCAAGGCUCAACCUUGGACUUGCAGUGGGUACGGGCAGGCUAGAGUGCGGUAGGGGAGAUGGGAAUUCCUGGUGUAGCGGUGGAAUGCGCAUAUAUCAGGAGGAACACCAAUGGCGAAGGCACAUCUNUGGGCCGUAACUGACGCUGAGGAGCGAAAGCGUGGGGAGCGAACAGGAUUACAUACCCUGGUAGUCCACUCCGUAAACGGUGGGUGCUAGCUGUGGGCCACAUUCCACGUGGUCCCGUGACGAAGUUAACGCAUUAAKCACCCCCCUGGGGAGUCCC
rnacentral:rRNA from 1 species